UAGGCUUCAAGACAUCUGCGUGCUCUAACCCAGGGUCUCCUGCAUCUCUGUCAUCGGUGUCAGUAAAGCAGCAAACCAGAAGAAGGAAACCACCGGGCUUGAGUUCAUUAUCUUCAGUUCACACCUCUGACAAGCUGUUAAAGCCAUGCACAGCAGACCUGAUGGUAAAUUCACACCUUGCGGGACCACCUCACCCUUCCAUUAACCUGGGAAGAGUGCACGUGGAUACAAGGACCUGUGUGCCUUUCCUGAGGCAGCUGGCAGCUGCAGAGGCUGAGGGAAGAAAUGAGCACAACCAUUAUGACCACAAGAAGUAGGAGAAGAAGGAGGAGAAGG
rnacentral:lncRNA from 1 species